UACGGGGGGGGCAAGCGUUGUUCGGAAUUACUGGGCGUAAAGGGCUCGUAGGUGGCCAACUAAGUCAGACGUGAAAUCCCUCAGCUUAACUGGGGAACUGCGUGUGAUACUGGAUGGCUUGGAUUUGGGAGAGGGAUGCGGAAUUCCAGGUGUAGCGGUGAAAUGCGUAGAUAUCUGGAGGAACACCGGUGGCGAAGGCGGCAUCCUGGACCGACACUGACACUGAGGAGCGAAAGCCAGGGGAGCAAACGGG
rnacentral:rRNA from 1 species